rnacentral:rRNA from 1 species
GUCCUACGGGGCGCAGCAGUGGGGAAUAUUGCACAAUGGGGGAAACCCUGAUGCAGCAACGCCGCGUGAGUGAAGAAGGUUUUCGGAUUGUAAAGCUCUGUUAGCAGGGAAGAGGAAGGACGGUACCUGCAGAGGAAGCCACGGCUAACUACGUGCCAGCAGCCGCGGUAAUACGUAGGGGGCAAGCGUUAUCCGGAUUUACUGGGUGUAAAGGGAGCGUAGACGGAGGAGCAAGUCUGAUGUGAAAAUCCGGGGCCCAACCCCGGAACUGCAUUGGAAACUGUUUAUCUAGAGUGUCGGAGAGG